UUAACACAUGCAAGUCGAGGGGCAGCAUUUUAGUUUGCUUGCAAACUGAAGAUGGCGACCGGCGCACGGGUGAGUAGCACGUAUCCAACCUGCCGAUAACUCCGGAAUAGCCUUUCGAAAGAAAGAUUAAUACCGGAUGGCAUACGAAUAUCGCAUGAUAUUUUUAUUAAAGAAUUUCGGUUAUCGAUGGGGAUGCGUUCCAUUAGUUUGUUGGCGGGGUAACGGCCCACCAAGACUACGAUGGAUAGGGGUUCUGAGAGGAAGGUCCCCCACAUUGGAACUGAGACACGGUCCAAACUCCUACGGGAGGCAGCAGUGAGGAAUAUUGGUCAAUGGGCGCGAGCCUGAACCAGCCAAGUAGCGUGAAGGAUGAAGGCUCUAUGGGUCGUAAACUUCUUUUAUAUGGGAAUAAAGUUUUCCACGUGUGGAAUUUUGUAUGUACCAUAUGAAUAAGGAUCGGCUAACUCCGUGCCAGCAGCCGCGGUAAUACGGAGGAUCCGAGCGUUAUCCGGAUUUAUUGGGUUUAAAGGGAGCGUAGGUGGAUUGUUAAGUCAGUUGUGAAAGUUUGCGGCUCAACCGUAAAAUUGCAGUUGAAACUGGCAGUCUUGAGUACAGUAGAGGUGGGCGGAAUUCGUGGUGUAGCGGUGAAAUGCUUAGAUAUCACGAAGAACUCCGAUUGCGAAGGCAGCUCACUAGACUGUCACUGACACUGAUGCUCGAAAGUGUGGGUAUCAAACAGGAUUAGAUACCCUGGUAGUCCACACAGUAAACGAUGAAUACUCGCUGUUUGCGAUAUACAGUAAGCGGCCAAGCGAAAGCAUUAAGUAUUCCACCUGGGGAGUACGCCGGCAACGGUGAAACUCAAAGGAAUUGACGGGGGCCCGCACAAGCGGAGGAACAUGUGGUUUAAUUCGAUGAUACGCGAGGAACCUUACCCGGGCUUAAAUUGCAACAGAAUAUAUUGGAAACAGUAUAGCCGUAAGGCUGUUGUGAAGGUGCUGCAUGGUUGUCGUCAGCUCGUGCCGUGAGGUGUCGGCUUAAGUGCCAUAACGAGCGCAACCCUUAUCUUUAGUUACUAACAGGUCAUGCUGAGGACUCUAGAGAGACUGCCGUCGUAAGAUGUGAGGAAGGUGGGGAUGACGUCAAAUCAGCACGGCCCUUACGUCCGGGGCUACACACGUGUUACAAUGGGGGGUACAGAAGGCGGCUACCUGGUGACAGGAUGCUAAUCCCAAAAACCUCUCUCAGUUCGGAUCGAAGUCUGCAACCCGACUUCGUGAAGCUGGAUUCGCUAGUAAUCGCGCAUCAGCCAUGGCGCGGUGAAUACGUUCCCGGGCCUUGUACACACCGCCCGUCAAGCCAUGAAAGCCGGGGGUACCUGAAGUACGUAACCGCAAGGAGCGUCCUAGGGUAAAACUGGUAAUUGG
rnacentral:rRNA from 1 species